rnacentral:lncRNA from 1 species
AUGGCCACCUUCUCACUGGGUACUCACAUGGCCCUCUUCAGUGUGUGUGUGUUUGGGGGUUGGGGGAGUAGGAAUGAAACUAAGCUUCCUGAUAGCUCUUCUUAUAAAUAUACUAAUCUCAUCAGAUCAGAGCUCCACCCUAUGACUUCAUUUAGCUUUAACUAUUUUCUAAAGGUCCUAUUUCCAAACAUAGUCACAUUAUGGUUAAGACUUAAACAUGUGAAUUUUGAAGGGGCUCCAUUCAAUGUACAACAUUCAGGAAAUACAUUCCUUCUACAUUAUCCAAGUAUGUUUAGUCAUUUGAUUACAGAAAAGGCAGAGGAACCAGAGAUCAAAUUGCCAACAUCCGCUGGAUCAUGGAAAAAGCAAGAGAGUUCCAGAAAAACAUCUAUUUCUGCUUUAUUGACAAUACCAAAUGCCUUUGACUGUGUGGAGCACAAGAAACUGUGGAAAAUUCUGAAAGAGAUGGGGCUACCAGACCACCUAACCUGCCUCUUGAGAAAUCUGUAUGCAAGUCAGGAAGCAACAGUUAGAACUGGACAUGGAACAACAGACUGGUUCCAAAUAGGAAAAGGAGUACGUCAAGGCUGUAUAUUGUCACCCUGCUUAUUUAACUUCUAUGCAGAGUACAUCAUGAGAAACGCUGGACUGGAAGAAACACAAGCUGGAAUCAAGAUUGCCAGGAGAAAUAUCAAUAACCUCAGAUAUGCAGAUGACACCACCCUUAUGGCAGAAAGUGAAGAGGAGCUAAAAAGCCUCUUGUUGAAACUGAAAGAGGAGAGUGAAAAAGUUGGCUUAAAGCUCAACAUUCAGAAAAUGAAGAUCAUGGCACCUGGCCCCAUCACUUCAUGGGAAAUAGAUGGGAAAACAGUGGAAACAGUGUCAGACUUUAUUUUUCUGGGCUCCAAAAUCACUGCAGAUGGUGACUGCAGCCAUGAAAUUAAAAGAUGCUUACUCCUUGGAAGAAAAGUUAUGACCAACCUAGAUAGCAUAUUCAAAAGCAGAGACAUUACUUUGUCGACUAAGGUCUGUCUAGUCAAGGCUAUGGUUUUUCCUGUGGUCAUAUAUGGAUGA